rnacentral:rRNA from 1 species
ACKGCUCAGUAACACGUAGUUAAUCUGCCCUCAGGUCUGGGAUAAUCACGGGAAACUGUGGCUAAUACCAGAUGGAUAAGAAAUACUGGAAUGUGUUCUUACCGAAAGCUAUCAGCGCCUGAGGAUGAGACUGCGUCGGAUUAGGUUGUUGCCGGUGUAAAAAGGACGGACGGCUCAAAUGGCCAAAGCCGUCGGUCUUUACUUUCCCGGCAAGCCGAUAAUCCGUACGAGCCUUGAGAGAGGGAGCUCGGAGAUGGAUUCUGAGACAAGAAUCCAGGCCCUACGGGGCGCAGCAGGCGCGAAAAUUUCCCAAUGCACGGAAGUGUGAGGAAGGGAUCUGGAGUGUCUUCCUUUUUAAGGGAGACUUUUGUGGAGUGUAAACAGCUUCAAGAAUAAGUGGUGGGUAAGACGGGUGCCAGCCGCCGCGGUAAUACCCGCGCCACGAGUGGUGACCACGUUUAUUGGGCUUAAAGCGUUCGUAGCCGGUUCAAAAAGUCUCUAGUGAAAUCCCACAGUAAACUGUGGGGCUUGCUAGGGAAACUGCUGGACUUGGGACCGGGAGAGGUCGAGGGUAUUCCAAGGGUAGGGGUAAAAUCCUGUAAUCCUUGGGAGACCAUCUGUGGCGAAGGCGCUUGACCAGAACGGAUCCGACGGUGAUGGACGAAAGCCAGGGGAGCAAAGGGGAUUAGAUACCCCCGUAGUCCUGGCUGUAAACGAUGCCCACUAGACAUUGGCAAUCUUAAGGGGGUUGCCAGUGCCGUAGCGAAAGCGUUAAGUGGGCCGCCUGGGGAGUACGGUCGCAAGGCUGAAACUUAAAGGAAUUGGCGGGGGAGCAC